rnacentral:lncRNA from 1 species
GCUCUGCGUGCGCCGGAGGCUGCCAUGGCGGGUGGGCAGCUUGACUUCUCCUCCCGGCCAGUUGUCGAGCGCCUCACCAGGCCUCGCCCUGCAGCCUCGCUCUCCCUGGCGCUGCGCGGCCUAGGGGACUGGGCUGCUGGCCUCCGGGUGCGGGGUGGGGGCAGGCUCUGACCUGGGGCGUUCUGGCCGCGCGAGCCGCGGGAUGGGGCCCCCGGCCCCGGAGGAGGCGCCGCUGCUGUGUCCCUUGGUGGAGAGGGCGCUGCCAGCCCUGCGCGGUUUCCAGCCAGGAAGCUUCGGGAAGCCUGGACGUCUGCUCACUGGAGAUGACACGUGCGUGGGGUGUUGGAUGCAGAGGCCAGGAUGUGGGCCCAGCCCUGUGCCAGAAGGCUGGCUGGAAUAAAGGGAUGGGCAGGCUGGCAUGGGGGCACCCGCUGCCCCUGCCUGGGUGUUGCUGUGUAUUCCCGCCGGCCAGGGGCCACUGCCAGGACCACCCCUCCCUUUUCAUAUCCCGAUUCUUAAGUUCUGCUAUUGUGGUAUUGUGGUCGAAAAAAAAGAACCGCUUGGCUGUUUUUGAACUGCCUGGAACCUAAGAUCCUGAAUUUUUUUUCCCCCCCAAGGGGGAAAGUCUAUAUGGAAAACAUUUAUUUUAAAAUACAGGAUGAAGUGAAUUAAAAGAUUUAAAUGCAAAAAAAAAAAAAAA